GGGCCUGUAGUUCAGUGGUAGAACGCCGCGUUCGCAUCGCGGAAGUCGGCGGUUCAAAUCCGCCCGGGUCCA
rnacentral:tRNA from 1 species